rnacentral:rRNA from 1 species
GUAGGUGGCAAGCGUUGUCCGGAAUUAUUGGGCGUAAAGCGCGCGCAGGUGGUUCUUUAAGUCUGAUGUGAAAGCCCCCGGCUCAGCCGGGGAGGGUCAUUGGAAACUGGGGAACUUGAGUGCAGGAGAGGAAAGUGGAAUUCCACGUGUAGCGGUGAAAUGCGUAGAUAUGUGGAGGAACACCAGUGGCGAAGGCGACUUUCUGGCCUGUAACUGACACUGAGGCGCGAAAGCGUGGGGAGCAAACAGGGAUUAGAUACCCUGGUAGUCCACGCCGUAAACGAUGAGUGCUAAGUGUUGGGGGGGUUUCCGCCCCCUCAGUGCUGCAGCUAACGCAUUAAGCACUCCGCCCUGGGAGUACGGCCGCAAGACUG